AUGGCUCAGGAUGAACGCUAGCUACAGGCUUAACACAUGCAAGUCGCGGGGCAGCGAGGGGUUAGCUCGCUAACCCUGUCGGCGACCGGCGCACGGGUGAGUAACGCGUAUCCAACCUUCCCCCUAGUAGGGCAUAGCCCGGCGAAAGUCGGAUUAAUACCCUAUGUUGUAUAUUGAGGACAUCUGAUUUAUACCAAAGAUUGAUCGCUAGGGGAUGGGGAUGCGUCCGAUUAGGUAGUCGGCGGGGUAACGGCCCACCGAGCCUUCGAUCGGUAGGGGUUCUGAGAGGAAGGUCCCCCACACUGGUACUGAGACACGGACCAGACUCCUACGGGAGGCAGCAGUGAGGAAUAUUGGUCAAUGGGCGCAAGCCUGAACCAGCCAAGUAGCGUGCAGGACGACGGCCCUAUGGGUUGUAAACUGCUUUUAUGCGGGGAUAAAGUUCGCCACGUGUGGCGUUUUGCAGGUACCGCAUGAAUAAGGACCGGCUAAUUCCGUGCCAGCCGCGGC
rnacentral:rRNA from 1 species